rnacentral:rRNA from 1 species
CUUGAACGCUGGCGGCAGGCCUAACACAUGCAAGUCGAGCGGAUGAAGGGAGCUUGCUCCUGGAUUCAGCGGCGGACGGGUGAGUAAUGCCUAGGAAUCUGCCUGGUAGUGGGGGAUAACGUCCGGAAACGGGCGCUAAUACCGCAUACGUCCUGAGGGAGAAAGUGGGGGAUCUUCGGACCUCACGCUAUCAGAUGAGCCUAGGUCGGAUUAGCUAGUUGGUGGGGUAAAGGCCUACCAAGGCGACGAUCCGUAACUGGUCUGAGAGGAUGAUCAGUCACACUGGAACUGAGACACGGUCCAGACUCCUACGGGAGGCAGCAGUGGGGAAUAUUGGACAAUGGGCGAAAGCCUGAUCCAGCCAUGCCGCGUGUGUGAAGAGGGUCUUCGGAUUGUAAAGCACUUUAAGUUGGGAGGAAGGGCAGUAAGUUAAUACCUUGCUGUUUUGACGUUACCAACAGAAUAAGCACCGGCUAACUUCGUG